GGGAGCAGGUGAGUCAGCAUUCCCAUGGAACUACCUUACUGUGAAAGAAGGAACUCUGCCUCAGCCUGGUGACUGUUCACUCUUCCCUCUCCUUUUGCACUGCACCAGAGGAGGGUUCCUGAGACAGAGGCACUUUUGUAUAAGACACUGCAACACUGAGUAAGAAGAGACGGCUGUUAUCUCUGGGAGCUUAUCAUGCAGGUCUGAGAGAAAUAAAGGUGAUGAGGAAAACUCACAGCAGACAGCCUCAGUUGUGUGGCUUAGCAAACCUGAGAGCAGGGCAACGGCCAGAGUGGCAGAAAUGACUUGUCAAAAAAGAAGUGCAGCAAGAUGGGCUGCAGGAGACAUGAGUCAUGGAAGAGCUGCACUCCA